UGAGGACACAGAGUUCAUCUCUUUGGACCUUUCACAGUCUGCCAUGUGAUGACACGGCAAGUAGCCCUCAUCAGAUGCCAGUGCCUUGAUCUUUGAUUUCUCAGCCUCCAGAACUGCAAAUGGAUGAAAUUGGAGAAUAUCAUGUUAAGUGAGAUAAGCCAAUCUCAAAAAACUAAAGGAAGAAUGACCUGGCUGACUGCAUUCUUAACCAACCAUAUGGAAUAAAACAUGGAAAUGCUACCAAAACUUUUUAAUGUAUGAAAUACAAUGGGGACUAAAGUUUCUAAUAAGUAUGCUGCUUGUUUUGUAUGGAUAUUAUCCUGAAUUUCUGACACUGUAUGAGGAAAGAUAAAACCAAUAAAAUAGGA